rnacentral:rRNA from 1 species
UACAGAGGGUGCAAGCGUUGUUCGGAAUACUGGGCGUAAAGCGCGUGUAGGUGGCGAUGUAAGUCGGGUGUGAAAUCCCUCGGCUCAACCGAGGAAGUGCACUCGAUACUGUGUCGCUUGAGUGUUGGAGGGGAUGGCGGAAUUCCCGGUGUAGAGGUGAAAUUCGUAGAUAUCAGGAGGAACACCGGUGGCGAAGGCGGGUCUCUGGGCCGAUACUGACCGCUGAGGAGCGAAAAGCGUGGGGAGCGAACAGG